rnacentral:rRNA from 1 species
AUCCAGACUCCUACGGGAGGCAGCAGUGAGGAAUAUUGGUCAAUGGGCGCGAGCCUGAACCAGCCAAGUCGCGUGAGGGAGGACGGCCCUACGGGUUGUAAACCUCUUUUGCCGGGGAGCAACGGGGUCCUUGCGAGGGCCCGAUGAGAGUACCCGGAGAAAAAGCAUCGGCUAACUCCGUGCCAGCAGCCGCGGUAAUACGGAGGAUGCGAGCGUUAUCCGGAUUUAUUGGGUUUAAAGGGUGCGUAGGCGGACGCUUAAGUCAGCGGUAAAAUUGCGGGGCUCAACCUCGUCGAGCCGUUGAAACUGGGUGCCUUGAGUGGGCGAGAAGUACGCGGAAUGCGUGGUGUAGCGGUGAAAUGCAUAGAUAUCACGCAGAACUCCGAUUGCGAAGGCAGCGUACCGGCGCCCAACUGACGCUGAAGCACGAAGGCGUGGGUAUCGAACAGGAUUAGAUACCCGCGUACGC